CAGCACUAAUGCACCGGAUCCCAU
rnacentral:snRNA from 1 species